CCAGCUCCAAUAGCGUAUAUUAAAGUUGCUGCAAGUUAAAAAGCUCGUAGUUGAACUUCAUGAGCAGUAGGUAGCUUACUACCUGCUCUCUACCAGUCUUUCGACUGUUACUGUGAGAAAAUUAGAGUGUUUCAAGCAGGCUAUUGCAGGAAUACAUUAGCAUGGAAUAACGAAUGUACCUACAAUUUGGUUAAUUGUAGAUUACUAUUAAUAGGGACAGUUGGGGGCAUUAGUAUUUAAUUGUCAGAGGUGAAAAUUCUUGGAUUUGUUAAAGACUAACGUAUGCGAAAGCAUUUGCCAAGGAUGUUUUCAUUAAUCAAGAACGAAAGAUAGGGGAUCAAAGACGAUCAGAUACCGUCGUAGUCCUAUCUAUAAACUAUGCCGACUAGGGAUUGGAAUGAUCUGCAUCAUUUCAGUACCUUAUGAGAAAUCAAAGUCUUUGGGUUCUGGGG
rnacentral:rRNA from 1 species